rnacentral:rRNA from 1 species
ACUCCUACGGGAGGCAGCAGUGGGGAAUCUUGGACAAUGGGGGAAACCCUGAUCCAGCAAUGCCGCGUGUGUGAAGAAGGCCUUCGGGUUGUAAAGCACUUUCGAUAGGGAAGAAAAGCUGGUUGUGAAUAACAGCCAGUCUUGACGUUACCUAGAGAAGAAGCACCGGCUAACUCUGUGCCAGCAGCCGCGGUAAUA